rnacentral:rRNA from 1 species
UUGACGGUACCAGAGGAAUAAGCACCGGCUAACUCCGUGCCAGCAGCCGCGGUAAUACGGAGGGUGCAAGCGUUAUCCGGAUUCACUGGGUUUAAAGGGUGCGUAGGCGGGUAAGUAAGUCCGUGGUGAAAUCUCUGAGCUUAACUCAGAAACUGCCGUGGAUACUAUUUGNCUUGAAUAUUGUGGAGGUGAGCGGAAUAUGUCAUGUAGCGGUGAAAUGCUUAGAUAUGACAUAGAACACCAAUUGCGAAGGCAGCUCACUACACAAUUAUUGACGCUGAGGCACGAAAGCGUGGGGAUCAAACAGGAUUAGAUACCCUGGUAGUCCACGCCCUAAACGAUGAUUACUCGACAUCAGCGAUACACUGUUGGUGUCUGAGCGAAAGCAUUAAGUAAUCCACCUGGGAAGUACGAUCGCAAGAUUGAAACUCAAAGG